GUAUAUGCGUAUAUUUUUUUUCUGAGAGGACGUAUUUAGUUAUUAUUGCCUUAUAUAUGCAAAUAUGGAGUUAUUUAAAAUAAAAUAAAAAAGGAAACCAAUAAAGAAAAUGAAAUUAGUAUAAUAAGAUAUAAUUAUAUUAUAUACUUUCUAUAAAUAGUAUGUUGUUCUGUAAAAAAUAAAAAAUAGUAUCAUCUAUCUUUGAAUUUAUUUAUUUUAGGCUAAACUGCAGUUUUGACCCCCUAACUUUCACAAAGGUGCGAUUUUGACCCCCUAAUUAAAAAAAAUGAAAAUUUAAACCCCUAUGUUUUAGCCCCUUUGCAAAAGAGACCAUUUGAUCAAUUUUGACCGGGUCAACGCGGAGGUGUCAUGCCACAUGUGUAUUUCCCCAUUUUUUUUUUAUUCAAAAAGCCACUUGUGUAAUACUUGUAUUUUUUUUUAUUUUCUUUUUCAUUUUCAUCUUCUUCCUCACUCUCUUUUUCAAUCUCCUUCUACCAUUCUUUUUUCCAGCAACACAACAUCAACACAACAAUCUCUUCUUCUCUUCUUUCCUGGUUGUUCCAAUCCAUCCCCUUCUCAUCAAUUUUCAAUUUUUGGAUCACUCAUCAACAACACAACAACAACACAUCAUUAACAACAACAACAACACAAAAUUCUUCUUUAACCCAAUUCCAAACCAGAAAAACAAAAUCAAAUGAAAUUUGAAUCGGAAACAACAACAACAACUUCAACGUAAAACAACAACAACAACAACUUCUUUAAAAACAAAUCAUCAAAUCAAAAAUCAACCCAGAUUGCUUCCUCUUCCAAUCGAAAAUCAAACCCAAGUGGUUAAAAAUCAAUUCCAUGUAUGAAGAAUACAAAAACCCAGAUUCAAAAUCCUCUCUUUCAAUUUCUUGAUUGUGUUGUUGUGUUGCCGUUUUCUUGAUUUGAGGGGUGGAGGGUAUGAUUUGGAAGAAAAGAAAUAGAGAGAAGAGAAGGAAGAAGAAAAGGAAUAACAAAGAGAGAAGGUGGGAGAGAAUAAAAGGAAGAAGAGAAUAGAGAAGAUAAUGAUGAAGAUAAUAGAAGGAAGAAGAAAAGAAAGAAGAUAAACAGAGAAGGUGGGAGAGAAGAGAAGGAAGAAGAAAAGGAAGAAGAGAGAAGGGGAUUUGCGCUGGAGAAGAAGAGAGAAAAAGAAAAUGGG
rnacentral:lncRNA from 1 species